rnacentral:rRNA from 1 species
AAAACUUUCAACAACGGAUCUCUUGGUUCUGGCAUCGAUGAAGAACGCAGCGAAAUGCGAUAAGUAAUGUGAAUUGCAGAAUUCAGUGAAUCAUCGAAUCUUUGAACGCACAUUGCGCCCCGCGGCAUUCCGCGGGGCAUGCCUGUUCGAGCGUCAUU